rnacentral:lncRNA from 1 species
GGGGUGAAUGUUGGUAUAAUCCAAACAUGGCUACGUGUGGCUAGUACUAAGUUGCUUGAGUUUUAUUUAAUUAGAAAGUGAUUAGCGUUGUGGUGUAACUACGUAAGUUUGAGUCGGUUUCCUAGUUCUAUAUGUGUGCUAGUUGUACGUUCUUUUGUGGUCUGAUACAGGCUGUAGGUUUGGUAGGUUAAGUCCAAGUCAAGCAAGUUAUGUGUCCGUGUACGUGUUGUGCUAGGUUAUAUUGAAGUCGGCUAUGCUAGCCAUGGUCAGGACGGUGCAUAUAUAUAUGCACACAUAUGUUGCUA